AUGGGUGCUACGGAGGUGCACCAAGCCUUGGAUGCUUAUUGUCAAGCUUCGGGACAACGCAUAAAUUAUGAUAAGUCCUCGAUUUAUUUCAGCAAAGGGGUUCCUGAUAGUGUUCGCCAGCAAAUCAAAGGUCUACUCCAGGUGCCCAAUGGAGCUUUGAACGAGAAGUAUCUUGGUAUGCCAAGCGAUAUAGGAACAUCUAAGAAUGGGGCCUUCAAGUAUUUGAAAGAUCGGUUGUGGAAUAAAGUUCAGGGAUGGAUUGAGAAAACCUUGUCUAUGGCAGGUAAGGAAGUAUUGGUGAAGGCGGUUGCCCAAGCAGUACCGGUCUAUUCAAUGUCUUGCUUUAAACUACCAAGAGGGCUGUGUGAGCAUUUGAACAUGUUGAUUAGAAAGUUUUGGUGGGGAAGCAAGAAUGGUCAGCGUAAGCCCCAUUGGGUGUCAUGGAAGGCAAUGACACAACCCAAAAACAUGGGUGGCUUGGGUUUUAAAGAUUUUGAACUUUUUAACUUGGCUAUGCUAGCUAAGCAAGCAUGGAGGAUUUUGCAAAAUCUUGAUUCACUGAGUGCUCGUAUCCUCAAAAGUGUCUACUUCCCGGCUUCUGCUUUCCUGGACGCUGUCCUAGGAAGUCACCCGAGCCAAAUUUGGAGGGCUGUGAUCGAAGGGAAAGAUGUAUUGAAACAGGGACUGAUCAAACGAAUCGGCAAUGGCGAAUCAACUAAUAUCUGGAAUGAAAAUUGGUUGCCACGAACAGAGAUGAUGCGACCGUAUGGAAGUAGAGUUACAAACCCGCCUGUCUAG
rnacentral:rRNA from 1 species